UAUAGUUUGUAUCUUAGCUAAACCGCGCGGUGCAGUGCGCGGUUUGGCGGUGUAAAAUUUUGGUUUGCUCCGCACCGCAUCGUAUACUUACAAAUAUGUUAAAAAAAAUUAAACUUUACAUAUAUACCAUUUUUUUAGUAACCCAAUAUGAAACUAGGAGCCCACUUAAAUUAGAAGCCCACUUAAAUUAGGGUAUAGCCUUAUUCUCUAACACAUAAUACACACAACAACUCUUUCCUCUAUCAUCUCGUCUGUGCCUCCUCCUCCCUAUCACCAUCUCUAUCUCACACAGCAAUCGUACAACUCAAGACCUCCGAACAUUCGCUUCAAGAUCUCCUUCAAACAACUCAGGUGUUCAAGUAGUUUAUGCGACGACAGGGAUCAGAAUCAAGGGUGUCUGUUGAUCCUGAAAUUGAGAAAACUUGUAGAAGAAAUCGGAAACAGAAACGGUUAGAAAGAAUGGCUCGGAAUUAAGGUGGCCGCUAAGGAACUAAAAGUCAGAUCAUUCUCAAGGGUCGUUCUUUUACUCAUUCUCGCUCGAAUCAGAGGUAA